rnacentral:rRNA from 1 species
CCUACGGGAGGCAGCAGUGGGGAAUAUUGCACAAUGGGGGAAACCCUGAUGCAGCGACGCCGCGUGCGUGAAGAAGUAUUUCGGUAUGUAAAGCUCUGUCAGCAGGGAAGAAAAUGACGGUACCUGACCAAGAAGCCCCGUCUAACUACGUGCCAGCAGCCGCGGUAAUACGUAGGGGGCCAGCGUUAUCCGGAUGUACUGGGGGUCAAGGGUACGUAGGCGGCAGGGCAAGUCUGGAGGGAAAGGCGGGGGGUACACCCCCGGACUGCUCUGGAAACUGCCAGGCUGGAGUGGAGGAGAGGUAAGUGGAAUUCCCAGUGUAGCGGUGAAAUGCGUAGAUAUUAGGCGGAACACCAGUGGCGAAGGCGGCUUACUGGACUGUAACUGACGUUGAGGCUCGAAAGCGUGGGGAGCAAACAGGAUUAGAUACCCGUGUAGUC